CCUACGGGGGGCAGCAGUGAGGAAUAUUGGUCAAUGGGCGAGAGCCUGAACCAGCCAAGUCGCGUGAAGGAUGAAUGAUCUAUGGUUUGUAAACUUCUUUUAUAUGGGAAUAAAGUGAGGAACGUGUUCCUUUUUGUAUGUACCAUAUGAAUAAGCGUCGGCUAACUCCGUGCCAGCAGCCCGGGUAAUACGGAGGAUGCGAGCGUUAUCCGGAUUUAUUGGGUUUAAAGGGUGCGUAGGUGGUUAAUUAAGUCAGCGGUGAAAGUUUGUGGCUCAACCAUAAAAUUGCCGUUGAAACUGGUUGUCUUGAGUAUAUUUGAGGUAGGCGGAAUGCGUGGUGUAGCGGUGAAAUGCAUAGAUAUCACGCAGAACUCCGAUUGCGAAGGCAGCUUACUAAACUAUAACUGACACUGAAGCACGAAAGCGUGGGGAUCAAACAGGAUUAGAUACCCCUGUAGUC
rnacentral:rRNA from 1 species